rnacentral:rRNA from 1 species
GCCUACGGGGGGCAGCAGUGGGGAAUAUUGCACAAUGGGGGAAACCCUGAUGCAGCAACGCCGCGUGAGUGAAGAAGUAUUUCGGUAUGUAAAGCUCUAUCAGCAGGGAAGAAAAUGACGGUACCCGACCAAGAAGCCCCGGCUAACUACGUGCCAGCAGCCGCGGUAAUACGUAGGGGGCGAGCGUUAUCCGGAAUUACUGGGUGUAAAGGGAGCGUAGACGGCGAGGUAAGCCUGAAGUGGAAGCCCG